rnacentral:snRNA from 1 species
GUACUCGCUUCGGAGGUACGUAAAGUAAAAUUGAAACGAUACAAAGAACAUUAGCAUGGUCCCUGCGCGAGGAUGUCACGCAAAAUCGUAAAGAGUUCCGAAUUUUU